GGACUCCUGGUGUAGUGGUUAUCACGCUUCCUUUACAGCUCACGCUGAUGCUCGAUCGGAAUAGGUCGCAAGUUCGAUCCUUGCGGAGUUGU
rnacentral:tRNA from 1 species